UGCAGAGGUCCCAAGCGUUGCUCGGAUUCACUGGGCGUAAAGGGUGCGUAGGCGGCCGGGUAAGUCUGAUGUGAAAUCUCACAGCUUAACUGUGAAACUGCAUUGGAUACUAUCCGGCUCGAGGAAUGGAGGGGAGACUGGAAUACUUGGUGUAGCAGUGAAAUGCGUAGAUAUCAAGUGGAACACCAGUGGCGAAGGCGAGUCUCUGGACAUUUCCUGACGCUGAGGCACGAAAGCCAGGGGAGCAAACGGG
rnacentral:rRNA from 1 species